UACCAGCACCCCGAGUGGUCGGGACGUUUAUUGGGCCUAAAGCACCCGUAGCCGGCUCUACAAGUCUUCCGUUAAAUCCAACUGCUUAACAGGUGGGCUGCGGAAGAUACUAUAGAGCUAGGAGGCGGGAGAGGCAAGCGGUACUCGAUGGGUAGGGGUAAAAUCCGUUGAUCCAUUGAAGACCACCAGUGGCGAAGGCGGCUUGCCAGAACGCGCUCGACGGUGAGGGAUGAAAGCUGGGGGAGCAAACCGG
rnacentral:rRNA from 1 species